CAGUGUGCCGUGGUCCACUGGGAGAAGAAAAAGUGCCUGGAGACACAUGGACGGCCAACUGCCACCAGUGCACCUGCAUGGCUGCCAGGUCUGUGGACUGCAGACCCCGGGAGUGCCCCGCCCCACCCACAUGUGGAGCCGGAGAGAAGGUGGUCACCUUCUCAUCUAGUGAUACAUACCUGCUGUGACAUUGGACACUAUGCUGCGUCCAGCGCAGCGCCAUGGAGCCCAGCGGCCUGCGCCCUAAUGCCUCCUUGCCCCCACGCUGCAUUGCAUUGCAUCGCACCCAUAGGCCCCAGCGCUGGGGCUCGACCCCGUGCCCUGAGCACCUGGCCACGACUGUGCGGAGGCCCCCCGCGUGGAAGUACUGCUGAGGACUCAGGACAGUGCUGUGCCGGACAGCCUCGGCCAGGUCCAUCUUGCUGGAGCCCAUCUACUGGGAUUCCUCCAAUGCCAAGAUUUUUUAUGUGGGGAGAAGUGCCUGGAUCAACCAAUUCAGAAGCUGCUCCAAUCAGCAGAUGAAGAAGCCAUUACUGCAUUUUUGGAAGAAAACUUUAAAUCUCCCAAAUGAAUGAUGACUCAUUAUUGACAUUAUGGAGCCCUUCCAUCUGGAGCAGAUGACUUCAGAGACCCCAGGGCAGCAGGUCUGCAAGGCCAGGCAGUAGAGAAGGAGCCAGCAGGGGAGAGGUUCCUGCACAGCAUUAGAUGUGUCUGACUUCUAAGGAAAAUGAGACUCCAGACACAUUGAUGGGGCAUCAACAAGACUGUGGAUAGGAAAUGAGUGAGCUGCCAACUAUUGAGCUGCUGAGCCGGAGACCACAAGACUCCACUUCUGUCUCCAUCAUCGCAGAGCCCUGCCAUCUGGAGCAGACCUCUGAGGAGAACUCAGGUCAGUGUGUCCUCAGGCCCAGACACUGAGUAGGAACCAGCAGGGAGCACUGGUGAACCCCAGCCAUUCUGCAAGUGUCCCCUCUGGGCCCAUGACUGCCAUCCUGAUGUGGCUCCUGACAUUGAAAGCCACCUGUAGGGG